GGCAAAGCUGUUAGGUUUUAGAGAAAAGCAAGAAAUGAAGUUCUUGUUCCAAUGCCCCUGCUGCUCCUGCUUCUGCUUCAUCAAGGCCAAACAACCAAACCCUAAGGAGAAGGAAGCCAAGGCGAAUUGAGAAGCCAAUUUCACCGAAGUCCCGUUUGGUUCAUGGAUUUUGUAUUUAUCCCCAGUUCCAAUUCUACAUAAAUAGCAGAAUGUAUUCGCCAAGGUUG
rnacentral:misc_RNA from 1 species